CUAUACAUGCAAGUCGAGCGGACAGAUGGGAGCUUGCUCCCUGAUGUUAGCGGCGGACGGGUGAGUAACACGUGGGUAACCUGCCUGUAAGACUGGGAUAACUCCGGGAAACCGGGGCUAAUACCGGAUGCUUGUUUGAACCGCAUGGUUCAAACAUAAAAGGUGGCUUCGGCUACCACUUACAGAUGGACCCGCGGCGCAUUAGCUAGUUGGUGAGGUAAUGGCUCACCAAGGCAACGAUGCGUAGCCGACCUGAGAGGGUGAUCGGCCACACUGGGACUGAGACACGGCCCAGACUCCUACGGGAGGCAGCAGUAGGGAAUCUUCCGCAAUGGACGAAAGUCUGACGGAGCAACGCCGCGUGAGUGAUGAAGGUUUUCGGAUCGUAAAGCUCUGUUGUUAGGGAAGAACAAGUACCGUUCGAAUAGGGCGGUACCUUGACGGUACCUAACCAGAAAGCCACGGCUAACUACGUGCCAGCAGCCGCGGUAAUACGUAAGGUGGCAAGCGUUGUCCGGAAUUAUUGGGCGUAAAGGGCUCGCAGGCGGUUCCUUAAGUCUGAUGUGAAAGCCCCCGGCUCAACCGGGGAGGGUCAUUGGAAACUGGGGAACUUGAGUGCAGAAAGAGGAGAGUGGAAUUCCACGUGUAGCGGUGAAAUGCGUAGAGAUGUGGAGGAACACCAGUGGCGAAGGCGACUCUCUGGUCUGUAACUGACGCUGAGGAGCGAAAGCGUGGGGAGCGAACAGGAUUAGAUACCCUGGUAGUCCACGCCGUAAACGAUGAGUGCUAAGUGUUAGGGGGUUUCCGCCCCUUAGUGCUGCAGCUAACGCAUUAAGCACUCCGCCUGGGGAGUACGGUCGCAAGACUGAAACUCAAAGGAAUUGACGGGGGCCCGCACAAGCGGUGGAGCAUGUGGUUUAAUUUGAAGCAACGCGAAGAACCUUACCAGGUCUUGACAUCCUCUGACAAUCCUAGAGAUAGGACGUCCCCUUCGGGGGCAGAGUGACAGGUGGUGCAUGGUUGUCGUCAGCUCGUGUCGUGAGAUGUUGGGUUAAGUCCCGCAACGAGCGCAACCCUUGAUCUUAGUUGCCAGCAUUCAGUUGGGCACUCUAAGGUGACUGCCGGUGACAAACCGGAGGAAGGUGGGGAUGACGUCAAAUCAUCAUGCCCCUUAUGACCUGGGCUACACACGUGCUACAAUGGACAGAACAAAGGGCAGCGAAACCGCGAGGUUAAGCCAAUCCCACAAAUCUGUUCUCAGUUCGGAUCGCAGUCUGCAACUCGACUGCGUGAAGCUGGAAUCGCUAGUAAUCGCGGAUCAGCAUGCCGCGGUGAAUACGUUCCCGGGCCUUGUACACACCGCCCGUCACACCACGAGAGUUUGUAACACCCGAAGUCGGUGAGGUAACCUUUAUGGAGCCAGCCGCCGAAGGUGGGACAGAUGAUUGGGGUGAAGU
rnacentral:rRNA from 1 species